rnacentral:lncRNA from 1 species
UGGCAUUAGUUAGUGGUGUUUGUGGUAAUUGUCGGUGGUGUUGGUAUUCGUGGUGUUUGUUUAUUUGUUGGCAUUGGUUGGUGGUGUUUGUGAUGGUGGCUGUUGGGGUGUCGGUAUUCGUGGUAUUUGUAAUGAAUUUUUUAAAAUCUAUGCAUGUAAUUUUUGUUUUUCUUUAUCUGAAGGUAAAACAUGUCUCCCA